rnacentral:rRNA from 1 species
UGGGGAAUCUUCCGCAAUGGACGAAAGUCUGACGGAGCAACGCCGCGUGAGUGAUGACGGUCUUCGGAUUGUAAAGCUCUGUUAAUCGGGACGAAUGGUUUGUGUGCAAAUAGUGCAUAGACAUGACGGUACCGGAAUAGAAAGCCACGGCUAACUACGCGCCAGCAGCCGCGGUAAUACGUAGGUGGCAAGCGUUGUCCGGAAUUAUUGGGCGUAAAGCGCGCGCAGGCGGACUAGCCAGUCAGUCUUAAAAGUUCGGGGCUUAACCCCGUGAUGGGAUUGAAACUACUAGUCUAGAGUAUCAGGGAGGAAAGUGGAAUUCCUAGUGUCGCGGUGAAAUGCGUAGAUAUUAGGAAGAACACCAGUGGCGAAGGCGACUUUCUGGACGAACACUGACGCUGAGGCGCGAAAGCCAGGGGAGCGAACGGG